CCUACGGGAGGCAGCAGUGAGGAAUAUUGGACAAUGGGCGCAAGCCUGAUCCAGCCAUGCCGCGUGCAGGAUGACGGUCCUAUGGAUUGUAAACUGCUUUUGUACAGGAAGAAACCCUUUCACGUGUGAAAGAUUGACGGUACUGUAAGAAUAAGGAUCGGCUAACUCCGUGCCAGCAGCCGCGGUAAUACGGAGGAUCCAAGCGUUAUCCGGAAUCAUUGGGUUUAAAGGGUCCGUAGGCGGUCAGAUAAGUCAGUGGUGAAAGCCCAUCGCUCAACGGUGGAACGGCCAUUGAUACUGUCUGACUUGAAUUAUUAGGAAGUAACUAGAAUAUGUAGUGUAGCGGUGAAAUGCUUAGAGAUUACAUGGAAUACCAAUUGCGAAGGCAGGUUACUACUAAUGGAUUGACGCUGAUGGACGAAAGCGUGGGUAGCGAACAGGAUUAGAUACCCUGGUAGUCCACGCCGUAAACGANAGAUAUANAUGUGGUGGNGAUACUCAUGNGAGAGAAAGAAGAGAAGUAAGUACC
rnacentral:rRNA from 1 species